UUUUCUUGCAUUGUGUAGCAGACAAGGUAGGAACUCAGCCAGGUGCCAUUGUGCUUACUGUACUCUGCAAAUAAUCUCUGCUGUAACCAGGAUUUAUUUUUUGGAAUACUAAUGCUAAUACUAUUGAAGAUAGGUCAGAGCAGUUGAGUCUAUAUUUAAGAUAUUAGAGGUGGUGUGCUGAAAACUCAUCCUAAUUAGCUGCAGAAUGAGGGAGCUGAAACUUGGCUUCAUAUAGCCAACAUAAAAGUAAUUACUUGCUGAAUUAUAUAUACGUAUAUAUUAACUUUCUGAAAUGAGCAUACGAAAUCCUGAGCCUUAUGAAAAAAACAACAUUAGACUAUUGGUGAAUGAUUACCACUUUAUUUUGAGUUCAGUUGUGCUGCCUUUUUGUGCAAUGACAGUUUUUACCUUGUCUGAUGGCUCUUACCUUUCAAGUUUUGUAAACCACGUUCUUGCACCAACACUUUGUCUCUUGCAGAGUUCCUAUGAAUGUUCUUCAGCUGUAGUAAAAGGAUAAAUUUCUCUUCUUUUUAAAAGUAUGGCUUGAGGGACCAGGAGGAAGAAGGAAAUGUAGAUACAUCUGGGAAGAGAAGCAAAAAGUGGGAGAGGACAAGGCAGAGGGUGGAGGGUGGAAGAGGCUGUAGAAGUUGCCAAAGGAGCAAGAUUUAGAUUAUGCUCUGAAGUUUGAUGUCCGUGUGACCAUGACUUGGUAAGCACUUUUCAAGAUGUUAAGCUGCUGGACUGUACAUUGACCAAGCUAAUUUGGGAGCUUUAUGUAUAAUUACACUGUGUGAGAGGAGCUUUUGCCUCUUGAGAUACUUUAAUAAGUACCUGAAACAUGAUGUUAAUAAAAUACUAUAAUUACAUAACAUGGGGCUAAAAUUUAUGUUGUGCAUUAAUUUCAAAAUAAAAGUAGACUUCGAAUUCUGCAUUCUUAUGGCUUAUAUCAUAUAAAUCCAUUAGUUCAAAUAUGUUAGCUAAAAGAAUGAGGACUUGCAGUACUCAAACAAUUGUUGUUGGCAAAGAAACUAUAAUUAACUCUCUUUAGAGAGAAACAGGAGACACUAUAGAACACUCCAUGAAAGUGGAGCUGUGUUAAACCCUUACACAGUAAACAAUCAAUAGAGUCCUAAAGAAAGAGGGAAGACUCUCAAGUUCUCCAAGGUGAAAGUUUCAGACAACAGCGUCAUAAGGAAAUAAAUGGAUGACAACAACUUUGAUUUCCAGCCUGAUGUGUUCUCUGCCAUGGAACUGAAAGGCAUGGAAUAGUGCAUGGUGGCAAAGCUCAGUGGUCAAGAAGAGCUGCUCUCUGGAUCACUCCUGGAGGAGAAAACAGGCUCAAGCCUGCAGGAGGGUGCUUCUUUCAUCCAAGGCUUUUUCAGAAAUAUUUUAAAAUAACCUCUUCAACUUAUGCUCAGUUGUGGGUUUAUGUACUGGCUGGCUUGUUGAAAUAUUAAUCUUGUAGUUUCAUUAAGCACAAUGCAUACCAUGUGGGUUUGAUUAAGAAACAAGAAUAAAAAUACAAUGAAAAUUGAAUUCUGUCUUUAAAAUAUUUCAUUACUCAAAUUGUAUGUUCUUGGCUUAAUGGUAAGCAUUCAGUUCUGGAUUGGUUCACAUAUUGUUUAAAUUUUGGUGUUAAAUAUAAUUGGGAUCAAGCAAACAAAAUGGGAAGAUGUAAAAGCAACUUUUAGCAGUUGGAUGUAAAUGGAGGAAGGGCAUGUGGGCAGUGUAGCUCAGAGCCUAGGUUCACAGCAUUUAGUGCUGAGAUUCGUCCUUUAUUGUUAUAUGGACCACUUGCUAUGUACAGUAAGCAGCAUGAAGGCUAGUGAAAGCAUGGAAAGCUUGUAUUGCAGGCCCAUGUUGAUUUUGGUCUCAGUACUUUGAAAUCUUUGUGCUCAAAUCAUGUUAAACCGGCAUCUUAUUUUUAUGGUAAUGUUAAAAUGAUGAGUUUUAUAUAACCACAUUUACUCUCUGCCUGAAAGGAGGCUGUAGUGAGGUGGGGUCAGUCUCUUCUCCCAAGUAACAAGUGAUAGGACAAGAGGAAAUGGCCUCAAGUUGUGCUAAGGGAGAUUUAGAUUGGAUAUUAGGAGAAAAUUCUUCACGUGAAAGGUUGUCAGGCAUUGGAACAAGCUGUCCAGGGAAGUGGCUGAGUUGCCAAGACAUGUAAAUGUGGUGCUUAGGGACAUGGUUGUGAUGGACUUGGCGGUGCUGAGUUAACAGUUGGACAUGGUGAUCUUAAAGGUCUUUUUUAACCUAAACGAUUCUAUGAUUCUAUUAAGCUCACUAAGACAGAUAUACUGGUGACAGUCACUGUUUCAGUGUAGAAGACAAUAAGUGGAAGUAUUGCUAGCUAUGUAAAACUUCCAAUGAAACGUUGUCAGUUGCAUUCAAAGUUAUUGAAUGUGAAAAGAAACCUAAUAAAGCACUUUGAACUACAAAUGGA